rnacentral:rRNA from 1 species
CAUACCGGAGCUUACACAUGCAGUCGAACGGUCUCUUCGGAGAUAGUGGCGGACGGGUGAGUAACGCGUGAGAAUCUAGCUUCAGGUCGGGGACAACCACUGGAAACGGUGGCUAAUACCGGAUGUGCCGAAAGGUGAAAGAUUUAUUGCCUGAAGAUGAGCUCGCGUCUGAUUAGCUAGUUGGUGUGGUAAGAGCGCACCAAGGCGACGAUCAGUAGCUGGUCUGAGAGGAUGAUCAGCCACACUGGGACUGAGACACGGCCCAGACUCCUACGGGAGGCAGCAGUGGGGAAUUUUCCGCAAUGGGCGAAAGCCUGACGGAGCAAUACCGCGUGAGGGAGGAAGGCUCUUGGGUUGUAAACCUCUUUUCUCAGGGAAUAAAAAAAUGAAGGUACCUGAGGAAUAAGCAUCGGCUAACUCCGUGCCAGCAGCCGCGGUAAUACGGAGGAUGCAAGCGUUAUCCGGAAUGAUUGGGCGUAAAGCGUCCGCAGGUGGCACUGUAAGUCUGCUGUUAAAGAGCAAGGCUCAACCUUGUAAAGGCAGUGGAAACUACAGAGCUAGAGUACGUUCGGGGCAGAGGGAAUUCCUGGUGUAGCGGUGAAAUGCGUAGAAAUAC